AUCAGGGUCAGGAGUGAUGGGUAUGCCAAUGUCAGGGUGUGGCCAGAGUGAGGGGUGGUUUUUGAAGACACCAACAGCCUUGUAGUCCUCCUCAGGCCUUUAUUUCAUGCUGAAAGUUCCCAAAUAUUUUAUUCUCAGUCCUAGAUCCUAUCUGAAAUGGCAGGGCCUAGCUCCGGAGUUCUGUAAUGUAAUUAUGAUGAGCGCCUCAGAGCAUGUUCUUAGUGACUUUCUCAUAAUUAAGGGAAAACCUUAAAGAUUUAUGGACUCCCAUGACAAGCUACCAGAAUGAAGGGCCAUAUCUUACUAUGAGCGUUCAGGAAUAUCUCCGUUGAGCAUGGAUGGAAACUGCCCAGUCUGGAUUAAUUAAUGGAAUUCAGAUACUCUGCUCUUCAAAAUCAUUACAAUUGAAUUCAUGUCCCAUGAAGUGUAGAAGAUUUGCUUGUUUCUUCAAUGAACAUGACUUAUAAGUUAUAUAAGGCAUGUAGGACUGUGAGGAACCCUCCGGGAAAUUUCUCUUGUCUUUUAUAUACUUGUUUGGCUUCCACUGAAAAUUCUCAGAUGUUUUGCAUGGGAAGAACCCUGAAAUUUACUUUCACUUUGUGUGAAUAUUCAGUGCCAACCCUAGGGAUGUGCAGCAAUCCCCUGAGAAAUUUCAUUUGACAUACAGAAACUUUUUUUGGCUUUCCUUUAAAAUUCUCAGAAGUUUCUUUUUGGAUGGAAGCCUGCAAUUCACUCUGAAUUUCACUUUUUUUUUAAAGGUGCCAACCCUAAUAUAAAACAGUUCAUUAUAGGGCUGUGUUGAAUCUUCUGUAGUAAUUAGGAUUGUGUGGGCAUUCUAGAAGCUUAUAAAUGUGCUCCAGAUUCCAGCAUUAGUUUUGUAGAAGAGAAAUUUGUAAUCAAAUUUUGGGAGCAAGUAUUGCUUUGGUCGUUGAUUGGGUAACAGAAAGAAUAUAACUGAGCUGAACUGUGGUGUCAGAUGUUCUAACAGUCAUAGUAAUAAGCUAAUGUGUAUGUGAUGCUUUAAUAACCCUAAGCCUAGCCAUCGAAAAAGCCUAAAUUAGUGUGUUCCACUUCUGCAAUAUAUUAAUUACUGUAAAUAUACAAAGGUAUGCAAUCAGAAAAGCAAAAUGAGUAUUUCUAAUUAGGACUGAAUGGUAGUGCAUUUGAUCAAAGUAGGACACACAGUGCACUCCUGAGCACUGCAUAUAUUUUAACCAAUUAGUCAGAAAGGUUCUUUGAUGGCUGAUUACACCUCUAUAAAACUGGCUCAACUCAUAAACACCGAAGUCCACAAAUGAACAAGUACUAUAUAGCACAUUGCAUUAUUUGGUCUGUUCCUGUACUUGAGGAAUAAUAUGUUGACAGCAUGAGCCCAAUCCAGCAUUUAGCUGCAGGUAGCAGAAGUGUAAUCCCGUGUCCAUCUCUGCACCAGACUAAUACAUAGGAGAAGAAACCACAAGGGGUGUGUGUGUGUGCUUGCGCACAUGCAUUUUCUGUUUAUUGUGCCAGACCACAACGCAGAAGAAACUGACUACACUGAUAUACUCUGGUCACCACAGAUCCAAUCACUGCGAGAUGGAGGCGGGGGGCGGUUAGCAUAAUGCUAUAAAUGAUUCCUCCCUCCCCGCCUGAUAGCCCAGUAAGUAAAGGGAAACAGUAGGGACCCGCCACGUGCUCACGCACAAACACAUUUCCCAAGGGGCCUCUCCCAAUGUAGUAGCCUUGUUCUAGCCAGACUCUCUGCAAGGUUAGUGUGCCCAGAUCAGUCAGGGCUUAAUAGGAAGCUCGAUUCCCUGCAACUCAACACAAGACGAGGCCUCCAUUCCUGCUCCAUGCCCAGUGCUGAAUUAUUUUUUCACAUGUAGAAGCCUUGGGGCUGAUUCCAGCUGUGGGCAACAUGCUGAAUCAGGUUCUUGAAAGGCUUCCAGGGUUGGUCACUAUCCAUGACAAAUGUUUUUACAUGGUAUUGGUGUUUGAAUUUUAGUGCUGUAGGGCUAGUGCCCUUCGCUCACAUGUGUUUUGUUCCCCUAUCACACACGUAUAUUUGGAGUGGUGGGGGGAUGUUCAUUGCUUGUAGUUCCAGGCAUAGAUAUGGUGUCUUAUCAGAAGGUUGUUUCAUAGACAGAUCUGGUGUCUCAUUUGCUCUGAGAGAAUGGGUUUAACCCAAAUUAAGAUGAAUGGAAAGAAAAUGGCCUCUGCUAACCCUGUGCAAGAGCUUCUGCAGGAGUUCACAGAGAGUUCAGUAGGUCCUCAAGCAGUUCUUAUGCAUUCAUUUGCAUGAGAGGUAACACACAAGCUCUUGUGGAAGUGGAAGAAUAUUAUUGGAUUUAUUUUCACUUUUCUUAUGCAAUAUUCUACUUCAGGGGUUCUCAAACAUAGGCCCCCAGAUAUUGCUAGACUACAACUUCUUUCAUCUCCAGUCACAUGCAUGAUGGAUGAUGGGAGUUGUAGUCCAACAACAUCCGGGGAACCCACAUUUGAAAACCUCUAUUUUAGCAGAAGGUGCAGAGCAGCCCUUCCUUAAGGGGCAUGAAAGGGCCCCUAUGGCAUGAAUCUGCCACAGUGACCCACUUCAAAUCUGGUUGUCCCCCUUUAUAAUGCUUAUGGAUUUGAGAGCUCAGUUAAUGGUCUGUUUUCUAUUAUUUAUGGUGAGGGAGUGGAACUUCUAUUGUUUAUUGUGAGGAAUUGUGUUUCAGAAUAACCAGUCAAAAUAACAAUGUUAUACUAAAAAAAAAAAGAGAACUAAUAAGGAUGAAGUGCUGUCUUUUUAUUUUAUUUGUUAAAGAAAUAUAAUAUAUUGUGCAGUUAUUUGACUUCUCAUUCCCACUCUGGAAAGCAAAAGCAGGAUGACUGUAACAAUCAUAAGCCAGCAAUGACUUAUUU